UAUAUAUCGUGACUCGCUGUUUUGAAAAGUGAAGAUAACAGUAAAUUAUUGAUGAUCAUUGUAUUAUGCAAUAACUAAGAUUAUCAUGUUUAUCACAAAAAAUAGUUGAAUUUUAAUUUCGAAAUGAGGCGAGUCAAAACUUAUUGAUAAGAUUAAAAGAAAAAUAUGUAAUCAUCGUGAAUAAACGAUGUUUUCCAA